rnacentral:rRNA from 1 species
UACAGAGGGGGCAAGCGUUGUUCGGAAUUACUGGGCGUAAAGGGCGCGUAGGCGGCCCGCUAAGUCGAACGUGAAAUCCCCGGGCUCAACCCGGGAACUGCGUCCGAGACUGGCAGGCUCGAAUCCGGGAGAGGGAUGUGGAAUUCCAGGUGUAGCGGUGAAAUGCGUAGAUAUCUGGAGGAACAUCGGUGGCGAAGGCGGCAUCCUGGACCGGUAUUGACGCUGAGGCGCGAAAGCCAGGGGAGCAAACGGG